UCUCUCUCUCUCUCUCUCUCUCUCUCUUCUUUCUCUCCUUCCCCUCUUCUCUGUUAUUUUCUCAUCCCCACUCUUCGUCUCGAUCUCACCUCCUCUUGAUCUCACUUCGAUCUCACUCGGGGAGCGGCCGCACCGUAGCACCCAGCAGCCAAGCCGUCCGCGCCCUCGCAAUUUUUGGAGGAAGCCGUCCACGCCCUCGCAAUUUUUGGAGCAAGCCGAACCCACGCGUAAUUCCUCGAAGCCGUCCACGCCCUCGCAAUUUUUGGAGCAAGCCAAACCCACGCAUUAUCUCUAUAAUGGAGAGGAAGAUUACUGGAAAUGCUCAAUCGUCUGUAGUUAUAUGUUAUUGUGGAAAGCCAGCUAAAAUUAGAACCUCUCAUACACAUGCAAAUCCAGGUCGGCGCUUCUAUGGCUGCCCCAACUAUACUAAGCGAACAGAUGGACGCUACAACAAUAAUUUUUGUUCAUUCUUUAAGUGGUGUGACAUGGAGCACAAUAUUUCAGAAACAGACAUUUCUAAAUUGUCCUUCUUUGGAAGCUCACCCAAUGGGACGCAAACUAUUGAAUCGUCGAAUAAUAAAAUUAGUUGUUCACCAAGAAAUGAGAUAGAGGAAAUGCGAGUUGAGAUGAGGAUAUUUUCAUUUUAGUAAUUGUAUUACUUUUUGUAAUUUUUGUAAUGUUGCUACCGUGAAUGAAGUGUGUUUUCAAGAAAACUCUUGGCAAGUUACUCAAUUACAACGCUCAAGGGUUUUUGGUUGUUGGCGAAGUUUCUUAUUGGUUGCACGGAAGUGUUAUUUAUCUAUUUGCAUUCUGGAAAUGGAGAUUGAUGUUUGUGUAUUGUUUUGUUAA